GUUUCCGCUAAGUAUGAGUACCUGAAAGGUUUAAACCAAUUAGAGGUAAGCUGAGUGCAAAAUGAUAAUCUCUCGGUGAAGAGCAAAUAAGUGUCUUGAAUCUUGACAUCUUUGGCAGUUGACCCAUUGGGACCAUCGGAGUCCAAAACAUUUGAGUAAACGCUAAUGGAAGUAUUAGAACCUUGUAGGAUUAUU